rnacentral:rRNA from 1 species
ACUGCUCAGUAACACGUGGACAACCUGCCCUUAGGACGGGUAUAAACCCGGGAAACUGGGUAUAAUACCCGAUAGGUCUCGAUUGCUGGAAUGCAUCGAGAUUUAAAGCUCCGGCGCCUAAGGAUGGGUCUGCGGCCUAUCAGGUAGUAGUGGGUGUAGCGUACCUACUAGCCUACGACGGGUACGGGUUGUGAGAGCAAGAGCCCGGAGAUGGAUUCUGAGACACGAAUCCAGGCCCUACGGGGUGCAGCAGGCGCGAAAACUUUACAAUGCUGGCAACAGCGAUAAGGGAACCUCGAGUGCCAGGUUACAAAUCUGGCUGUCGAGAUGCCUAAAAAGCAUUUCAUAGCAAGGGCCGGGCAAGACCGGUGCCAGCCGCCGCGGUAACACCGGCGGCUCGAGUGGUAACCGUUAUUAUUGGGUCUAAAGGGUCUGUAGCCGGCCGGAUAAGUCUCUUGAGAAAUCUGGCAGCUUAACUGUCAGGCUUUCAGGAGAUACUGUCUGGCUCGAGGCCGGGAGAGGUGAGAGGUACUUCAGGGGUAGGGGUGAAAUCUUGUAAUCCUUGAAGGACCACCAGUGGCGAAGGCGUCUCACCAGAACGGACCUGACGGCAAGGGACGAAAGCUAGGGGCACGAACCGGAUUAGAUACCCGGGUAGUCCUAGCCGUAAACGAUACUCGCUAGGUGUCGACCACGGUGCGACCGUUGUCGGUGCCGUAGGGAAGCCGUGAAGCGAGCCACCUGGGAAGUACGGCCGCAAGGCGGAAACUUAAAGGAAUUGGCGGGGGAGCAC